ACAAUCAGAAAAUAAAGUUAAUAAUAGUUAAAUAAUUAGUAUUUUCCAUAAACAUUUUCCCUAUUAUAAUAAUAGAAAAACCACGAAUAACUAACGCAACUAAUACAACUUGAAUCUAAAUCACAUCUGUAAUAAGGCCCAAUCGGCCUGGGUCCAAACUAAACAAAAACAUGUCAGGCCCAACAAAUAAGUGGUCCAAUACAAGCCCAAUAACCGAUUUGCAAACCCUAGCCCAGCAAAAAUUAAUUUGCUGAAAUCCUAGCAGCCUCCUUGCCUCAGCGCCGCUCCCACGCGCAGCAAGUCUUCACCUUCGACAGUCCCAAGCGCCGCACGUCUCGGAGACCGACUCCCCACGCGCGCCAUGCUCUCCGCAACGAACCUGCAAACACGGAUUCAAAGAAUCCGAAAGAGGAAAAAUAGCAAAGAAUAACAAAAUAAAUAGUUUUUAUUUUGUACAUUUCGGCGAUAAAAGGGUCGAUUCAGUGUAAAAGGGGGGAAUCAAUUCAGUGUAAAGAAAUAGAAAAAUAGAGAGAAAAAUAUUGAGAUUUCUAAGUUUUUUCAAAGGUGAAUCGAGUUUAUUUUUUUAUUUUGUCUAUUUCUUUGUUUUAUUUUUUUUAUUUAUCUUUCAUUUAAAAUAAAAAAGAAAAGAAAGGAAAAAACUUACCUGGACGCCAGAGUCUUUAAGACCGGUGUCAUCUCCGUCGAAGUCGGAGCAUGGGCAUUAGGCUUGAUCGGCGGCGCAAAGAAAAGGGUUGAAGAAACCCUAGCAGAGUGAAUAAAAGGGCAGCAUUUAGUUUUUUUUUUUUAAAUG
rnacentral:lncRNA from 1 species